rnacentral:misc_RNA from 1 species
UCGAAAUCGAACGUCCGGGAGGGGAAACCCUUCCGGGCUUCGACCCCUUCUCGACACCAGUGUGCACUCGCCGUAGGUCCCUCUCGGGAUCUACGUCCCCUUUCGAAACUCUCGCAUGUCUACAGAAUGUCGUUCGUCGUGUCUCGACCUCGACCCUCGGGGGUCCUGCGUCGACGACCGCGAAACCAAUA